GCCACCCCUGAGACAGCAAGACCAACAACCCCUUCUCUUCCUCUUCAGCCUACUCAGUGUGAAGAUGAUUGCUGCCCUCAGCUGUGCCUGGAGCACAGGGCACCUCCAGUUCGGCCUCUCCAGAAGUAAACUUGUCUUCUGCCUAUCUUGUGUUUGUUGGGAGGAGGUGACCUGGGACUCUACUACUAUUGAUGAAGAAUCCGAAAAAGUCUUCUAUUAGCCCUGUGCCACACCCUACCUAUGAGGCUUUUGGGAAGAAGCAGAGAAAUCAGUGUUUACUGCAGAGAACACAGAAGCCAGCAAGCAGCAGGGAAGGGAGGCGAACCAAUGCAGCAGCCCACCGGGACCGAGGAGGACACACGCAGAGCAAGUCACAGGAAGCGCAGCUGAAAACAAAUGGACGCUUAUCCCAAAUGCACAGGACACUUACCAAGAACUGAUGGUCCGUCAAAGUAAAGCUCAACAGCUUUGGCUGGCAGGACAGUCAAACUUUUGGACGACAGAAAGUAACAGUGGGAAAUGGGACAACAUCUGCCAGCAACGCGAGAGGCCAAGACCAUGGCUGCUACAGGAGGGGUCAGCGUCACAGUACACGCAUGGCGGCGGUUGCACAUGCAUGCCUGGGGAAUGUGAGUGUUCAGACAUGCCAGGAGUCCAGCCUCACCAGGAAACAGGCACACGGGGACAGAGGCGCAAACACUGAAAACUCUCGCUGAAUCCACUCGGCUGAGCGGUGGUCACGAGAGCACGGCCCUGCGCUCCCCACAAAACUGCACCUGGGCCCCAGGGCGAGACAGGCGUGGAAGGUGCAGGGGUGUGUGUGGGGGCAGGGGCUCCUGGCUCAGAGCCGUAUCCAGGAACCCCCCUUCAGGCUGGAGCCCUGCCCUGAGCCCCCUGUGGAGAGACUGUGGAGAGCCCCCUGUGGAGAGGGUGACUGUGGGAGAGCAGCAUCAGGCCUAGUCUCGGCUGUGAAGUACCCCCCACCUCCACGCAGGAUCCCGGGGAUUCUGUCAAGGUGGGGGCCGCCUGCUCAGCCCAGGCUCCCUGAACGUGUGGCUAGCUGAGUUUGCGGAAGAAACCAGGAGAGUGCCAACACCAGGCUUGCAAGCAAGAGGCUCCCUGACUGCCUGAUCCUGGAGCGCACCCCAUCCUCCCUGUGUUCCCUGGGCCUCAGCUGUUCCCCAGUGACCUUGGAGACACCCUGCCCCACCCUGGCUCCACAGGAGCCCUGCCCAUCACCGCCUCAGCUCUGAGUCUCCCCUGGGGACACAACCUUCCUCCUGGUGCAGAGGCGCAGGAUGCUGCCCCUAAGGCCCAUCUUCCUCUGCAGCAUGUUUUGAUGUCAGCUCAUUCACAGGAAAGAAACAAUCACAUCUCAGUGCCCAGAAUGGGGACCAAUAGGAGAGGUCACUGGGAAUAAAGCCCACACGCACCCCAGGGUCCAUGGGCUCCCCAGAAAUGCAGGUGGCCUCCGCCAGAGCCAACAAGCCUAAGUUGCUGAUCAGCCCCUCCCUGCUUCCCUGUGUGGAAGAGGAAACAGAGGCCCAGACUAGUAGGGCUCUGCCGUGGUGGCCGGCUGCGUCCCCAGACCUCUGGUCCCAGGGCUGGCUGGGAGUGCCCCUCCCUGUGCUCACUUCCUGCUCUCCUGGGAAAUGGCUCAGGGAUGGGGCGUGUGGGGACAGAUGCUGGCAUAGCUCACAAAAUGCUUGCACAAGGGACACUCCAUGGCAGGUCCCUGCAGGAGAGCAAAGUCACAACAUUCAGAGAUUCCCUGCACUCUGAGGCCCGCAGAGCCUGGCCGACCAAGCGAGGCUGGGAGGAUGUUGCCUGCUGGUCAGGGCAGCCCUCUGAUCAGGGCGGCCGAGUGAGGCUGGGAGGAUGGUGCCCGCUGGUCAGGGCAGCUGAGCGUGGCUGGGAGGAUGGUGCCUGCUGGUCAGGGCAGCCCUCUGGUCAGGGUGGCCAAGCGAGGCAGGGAGGGAGGUACCCACCGGUCAGGGCAGCCGAACAAAGCUGGAAAGAUGGUGCCUGCUGGUCAGGGCGGCUGAAUGAGGCUGGGAGGAUGGUGUCUGCUGGUCAGGGCAGCUCAGGAGGUGCUGCCCAGGAGGUGCUGUCCAGGCAGAGCCUAGGGCUGGUGUGGGUGUGCCAUGCUCCUGAGAAGUUUCUGGGUUGUGGCUUUAAUGUUCUCCUGCAGUGAGAACGCUGACACUUGGCCAAAGGGUCCUCACCUCUCCCCUAGUACACUUCUGAGAUGCCAGGAAGGUUCUGAACAUCAGAUUGAUUCCUGGGACUCCCCUCCAGGGUGGCCUUACUGGAGUCAGGAGCCCCUGCCCCACUAGGAUGGCUCUGCAGUGGCCUGAGGACAGUGAGCACUGACUGGUCACUGGUGCAAAGUUGCCCACUGUGAUGGUUUUGACCGUUGAUGGGAACCAAGUGAAAGCCCUGCAGCUAUUUCUAGGCAUUUCAGAGGGUGCUUCCCUGCAUGUACUCUGCUGCAGACCAUCCUCCCUGGGCCAGGAGCCCGCUACACAGUAGGAGAUUCUUUUUCUUCUCUUUUGAGCACUUUUAUUCUCUUUUUCUUAAUCUCUGCUCCUCCUUUGAACUGAGAAAUGUGCAAAUCUUUUUUGUUAGUUUUGAGGUUGCUUCUUAUGCAUAUUUCAUCUGGAACUUUCCCCUUUGGGGGUGAUCUGUUCUAUCAGCCUGCCCGCUGCUAGAGAGGCCGAGGUGGUCCGGCCAGCCGUGCGCUGCUGCUGGUGUCUCUGUGGGCAUGACCUGGUGAGAUAUCAUUCUGCAUCUGGGGGUCCAUCCUAUCAGCCCUGUGUUCUAGAUUCCCCAGUGACUGACAUUUAGCCAGUCUCCUCUGUCACUCUCCAGUGACAUGUACACACUGUUGGCACGAACUGCAGAUGUCACGUUCUGUGGCUGAGAGCCUCAGUGUGCAUCUGUAGUAGGAGGAUGUCAGUGAGGACUGUCCUGUCGCUGCUGAGCUGGCACCGACUGUGCCUGGUCUACACUCCAGGUCUGCCAAACGACCCAGCAAGGUCCUUCACAACUCUUCUGAUCCAGGAUCACACAUCACUUGUGCUUUGAUGCCUGCUUCUGAACAAUUUUACCUCCUGAGAUGUCCAUUUUUGGGAGUGUGAGCCCUCCUCUCCUGGUGACAGCUGGCUGAGGCCGUCCAGCCUCAGGACACACAGGGAACGGCUGCAUAAGGAGAUCUGGGGCAGGGGGCCCACCAGGAUGUUCUGCCCUGUGGGGGGCAACACCGGCUGUGGUCUGCCGGCGGCAUCCAGGGACAGUCUGUCUAGGUGAGGCUGAGGCCGCCCCCACUCGCUCCCUCACCCCCAUGCUGACAGCAGUGAGCUGACCACAGACUGGGGGAGCCCCACAGGGAGACUGGCCUCCCCAGCACAUGCCCCGCAGUGCCAGACGCGGUCAUCACAGAGGCAGGUACACGACACCACGGACGUGCCACGUACCCGCCAUCGGGACCAAGGACCACUGAGAAACCAUGAAGGCCAUGCAGCGACUGUGGUGGCAGGACCGUCAGGAGGCCAUAGGUGCCACGGCUCCCCUCUGGUGGUUCACCUGCCCACCUGUAGCUGGGGUGGCCCCUCCAGUGCGCUCCCCAGAGCAGAACACCCCCCAGGCAACACGUCUGAUGAAGGCCAACAGCGUCAGUCCUCUGGUGUUUGGUGACAUCAAAGCUGUGCCGAAAGGCCUUCCCUCACUGCUAACACUUGAAGGGCUUCUGUCCGGUGUGGACCCUCUGAUGGCGAAUGUGGUCUGUCUUAUGCUUAAAGAUCCACCUCCAUUAACUGCACUCUUAGGGUUUCUUCCUCUGAAAAGGAAUGAACACGGGAACCCCCUCAAAGGCAUUUUUAAAUGAAGCGUGGAAGGCAUCAAAGAUGUGCUCUUCUUCAGGACUCAGGCUUCUCCAUCAUUCUCUGUUCCUUGGAAGCGUGAGGGCUAAGGAGCUGCUGACUUCUCUCUCUUGGCCCCACUUCAAGAAAGGCUUGCUUCCCACACACCUCUCCACGCUCCCAGUGCGGGACUGACACUCUGCACCGGGAGGCCAAGGGCCACCAUCGUCUUGCUGAGGUGGAUCACAGAAUGAGCGCUGAACUUUCUAGCAGCCAACAAGUUGAGAGAAGCAUGAUUCAACAAUUCGUAAUGUUCACACGAUUCAAGUCAAACAUGUUGGAAAGAAGUGUGACUAUUCCUGAAAUUGAGACCAGAGAGAAUUUCUCCCAAAUGAUCCUCACGAGAGGAGUGUGCAUAAUUAGGCAACAAUAUUUUGCAUUUGAAAAUGUCUUCACAUUAAAUAGAAGGAGUUGUUUUAUAGGCUAGUUUUUUAAGUUAUCCCUAAAUAUUGGCCAAAGGCAUUAUGCUAACAUGGAAGUGCCAGACCUUCGCUGCCCAUGUGCAGUAUGAUGAGGGAUGUAGCAGUGGGUCCCAGGGUGCUGGUGCACCAGAGGUUGGGGUGUGCAGUAGGGAAGAGAUUCAUCUGGUGUGGUUAUGUAGUGGUCAUGUGGUGCUUCCUAAAAGAGGGGCUUAAACUGCAUACCAAAACAAGAGUAGGCACACCCCCGCUAAACAGCCUAGUAUGCUAUUUUGUAACAAAUUUAAAUGAUACAAUAUUCAUUUUGCUUCAAUUUUCUUUUAUUAUUGCGGGUAAACAUUUUUUUCAAAAUAACAUUCUUCUCUUUGUCAAUUUAAAAAGUAAUACAUGGUUAUUUAGAACAUGUAAAAAUAUGAAAGUAUAAUAAAGAAAAUAAAAAUUACCCAGAAAUAAAAAUGGCUAGUAUAUUCAUAUCUUUUCUUCCAGUUUUUUUGUUUGUACAUUAUUUAUGUACAUAUAUAACAAUUGAUACCAUACAGUUUGUAAAAUGUUAAAUGUAACAUUGUGUCAUUUUUCCAAGUCAUUACUAGUCUUUGAAAACUUUAAAUAGCUGCAUGUUACAAACUUUAAUAAUCAUUUAGGU
ensembl:lncRNA LINC00639 long intergenic non-protein coding RNA 639